rnacentral:rRNA from 1 species
GACAGAGGGGGCAAGCGUUGCUCGGAAUUACUGGGCGUAAAGCGCGUGUAGGCGGCAACGCAAGUCGGGCGUGAAAUCCCACGGCUCAACCGUGGAAGUGCACUCGAAACUGCGUAGCUAGAGUCCUGGAGAGGAAGGUGGAAUGCUUGGUGUAGAGGUGAAAUUCGUAGAUAUCAAGCAGAACACCUGUGGCGAAGGCGGCCUUCUGGACGAUGACUGACGCUGAGACGCGAAAGCGUGGGGAGCAAACAGG